rnacentral:ncRNA from 2 species
CUUAAAUGUUUUAAGCCCUCUCGUAUAACCCCAAUGAUAUGGUUUGGGGGUCUCUACCAGGAACCGAUAAUUCCUGAUUACGAAGAGUCUUGCGUUAUGC